rnacentral:rRNA from 1 species
GGAUUAGAUACCCUGGUAGUCCACGCUGUAAACGAUGAGUGCUAGAUGGCGCGGGUAUUGACCCCUGCGGCGUCGUAGCUAACGCGUUAAGCACUCCGCCUGGGGAGUACGGCCGCAAGGCUAAAACUCAAAGGAAUUGACGGGGGCCCGCACAAGCGGUGGAGCAUGUGGUUCAAUUCGACGCAACGCGCAGAACCUUACCUGGGUUAAAUCCGCCAGAAUCUUCUAGAGAUAGAGGAGUGCCCUUCGGGGAAUUGGUGAGAAGGUGCUGCAUGGCUGUCGUCAGCUCGUGCCG